GCCGGGGUGGCGGAACUGGCAUACGCGACGGACUCAAAAUCCGUUGCCCGCAAGGGCUUGUGGGUUCGAAUCCCACCCCCGGCA
rnacentral:tRNA from 1 species